rnacentral:rRNA from 1 species
GACGAACGCUGGCGGCGUGCCUAACACAUUCAAGUCGAACGGAGUUAUUACGAAUGAAGUUUUCGGAUGGAUUUUGUAUUAACUUAGUGGCGGACGGGUGAGUAACGCGUGAGCAACCUGCCUUUGCAUUCGGGAUAACAGCUGGAAACGACUGCUAAUACCGAAUAACGUACAUUGAUUGCAUGAUCUGAAAACCAAAGAUUUAUUGCUGAGAGAUGGCCUCGCGUCUGAUUAGCUAGUUGGUGGGGUAACGGCCCACCAAGGCGACGAUCAGUAGCCGGUCUGAGAGGAUGAACGGCCACAUUGGGACUGAGAUACGGCCCAGACUCCUACGGGAGGCAGCAGUGGGGAAUAUUGGGCAAUGGGGGAAACCCUGACCCAGCAACGCCGCGUGAAGGAAGAAGGCCUUCGGGUU